rnacentral:rRNA from 1 species
UGCUUACAAGUAGUCAGAGCCCGUUAAUGGGUGAUGGCGUGCCUUUUGUAGAAUGAACCGGCGAGUUACGAUUUGAUGCAAGGUUAAGCAGUAAAUGUGGAGCCGUAGCGAAAGCGAGUCUGAAUAGGGCGUUUAGUAUUUGGUCGUAGACCCGAAACCAGGUGAUCUACCCUUGGUCAGGUUGAAGUUCAGGUAACACUGAAUGGAGGACCGAACCGACUUACGUUGAAAAGUGAGCGGAUGAACUGAGGGUAGCGGAGAAAUUCCAAUCGAACCUGGAGAUAGCUGGUUCUCUCCGAAAUAGCUUUAGGGCUAGCCUCAAGUGAUGAUUAUUGGAGGUAGAGCACUGUUUGGACGAGGGGCCCCUCUCGGGUUACCGAAUUCAGACAAACUCCGAAUGCCAAUUAAUUUAACUUGGGAGUCAGAACAUGGGUGAUAAGGUCCGUGUUCGAAAGGGAAACAGCCCAGACCACCAGCUAAGGUCCCAAAAUAUAUGUUAAGUGGAAAAGGAUGUGGCGUUGCCCAGACAACUAGGAUGUUGGCUUAGAAGCAGCCAUCAUUUAAAGAGUGCGUAAUAGCUCACUAGUCGAGUGACACUGCGCCGAAAAUGUACCGGGGCUAAACAUAUUACCGAAGCUGUGGAUUGUCCUUUGGACAAUGGUAGGAGAGCGUUCUAAGGGCGUUGAAGCAUGAUCGUAAGGACAUGUGGAGCGCUUAGAAGUGAGAAUGCCGGUGUGAGUAGCGAAAGACGGGUGAGAAUCCCGUCCACCGAUUGACUAAGGUUUCCAGAGGAAGGCUCGUCCGCUCUGGGUUAGUCGGGUCCUAAGCUGAGGCCGACAGGCGUAGGCGAUGGAUAACAGGUUGAUAUUCCUGUACCACCUAUAAUCGUUUUAAUCGAUGGGGGGACGCAGUAGGAUAGGCGAAGCGUGCGAUUGGAUUGCACGUCUAAGCAGUAAGGCUGAGUAUUAGGCAAAUCCGGUACUCGUUAAGGCUGAGCUGUGAUGGGGAGAAGACAUUGUGUCUUCGAGUCGUUGAUUUCACACUGCCGAGAAAAGCCUCUAGAUAGAAAAUAGGUGCCCGUACCGCAAACCGACACAGGUAGUCAAGAUGAGAAUUCUAAGGUGAGCGAGCGAACUCUCGUUAAGGAACUCGGCAAAAUGACCCCGUAACUUCGGGAGAAGGGGUGCUCUUUAGGGUUAACGCCCAGAAGAGCCGCAGUGAAUAGGCCCAAGCGACUGUUUAUCAAAAACACAGGUCUCUGCUAAACCGUAAGGUGAUGUAUAGGGGCUGACGCCUGCCCGGUGCUGGAAGGUUAAGAGGAGUGGUUAGCUUCUGCGAAGCUACGAAUCGAAGCCCCAGUAAACGGCGGCCGUAACUAUAACGGUCCUAAGGUAGCGAAAUUCCUUGUCGGGUAAGUUCCGACCCGCACGAAAGGCGUAACGAUUUGGGCACUGUCUCAACGAGAGACUCGGUGAAAUCAUAGUACCUGUGAAGAUGCAGGUUACCCGCGACAGGACGGAAAGACCCCGUGGAGCUUUACUGUAGCCUGAUAUUGAAAUUCGGCACAGCUUGUACAGGAUAGGUAGGAGCCUUUGAAACGUGAGCGCUAGCUUACGUGGAGGCGCUGGUGGG